rnacentral:tRNA from 1 species
GGGUUGGUAGUUCAGUUGGUUAGAAUGCCGCCCUGUCACGGCGGAGGUCGCGGGUCCGAGUCCCGUCCAGCCCG